rnacentral:lncRNA from 1 species
CGCUUUCAGCUUGUCUGGAAUCUGCAGAGAAAAAGGAUAAUGUCGCACAACAUGAUGGACUGGCUGAACUAAAGAAGAUAGAUCAGGAGGAGUUUGAAGCUGCUCAGAGAGAAAAAGCGGCUCAGAUGAACAGUAAGUUCACUGAUUUUAUAAACUCAUAAUCUGUGCAGUGCAUAUACUGUACGUAAAUGCACAUAAUCCCUAAUCCCAGCCCCUGCUUUUAUUCUCAGUUACAGUAGAAGAGGAUGAAUCACCUCGCAACCUUGGUGAGUGGAAACUACAAAUAGUCACAUUUGUAGAUCAAAAAUAAUAAUCAUAAAAAAAAAAUCAUAAAGAGACUGAUUUAGAUGUUAACACUGUUUCUAUCUGAUUUCUUCUCCAGUAGCAGAGGCCUAUGCUAACGCUGACGGUGUGUACUGUUGACAAAUAUCAUGUGGUCUUACUGUAGCUAUUAUUAUUCAACAUUACAUAACAAGGCAGUUCCUUCUCUUGCAGAGAGGGGUGGAUACGCUGACACAGCAGAUCAGAAAGGUGAGACAGCUUUUCUCGUGCUAACAGAAUCCUGCAGAUGGCAACACAAUCUCAGUGAAAUAAUUCUAACUGUACUGUGUGUUCUGACAGAAUCAGAGUCUGAGUCCUCUGAGGAGGGAAAGGAGCGUCAUGAGGUUGUUACAGAAGCAUUGAGAAACUUGGAUAAGGUCAGCAAGGAAUCAUCUGAGGAACAAGAUGGAUCAGCGUGAGAAACAUCAGUGAGGACAGGACACCAAGCCUGUUAAUAAAAGGACAACUUUUCCUCCUCCUGUGUAUCA